AGAAAAAUAACUAUGAUUUGAAAAGGAUCAAGCCUUUUGCAGCUGCCUAAUUCUAAUGUUAUGAACCAUAAACAAUUACACGAAUGUUUUUCCUGUAGCGGCUGCCUGUUGCUAUUAUUAUGGUCCAUAGUUAACAGCAAAACUGUGUAUCUCUGAGCUUGUGGUUUUUAACUUUUUGUCUGCCCUUUUUACAUUAUAAUUUGCACUGUAGAUCAUUAAUCUGUUGUUUUAAGUUUGUUGAACUUGAUUUAGUUAGUAUGGGAUGAUAAUAUUUCUCUCUUUUUGGUUGUUCAG
rnacentral:misc_RNA from 1 species